UCGGGUAUGGUGUAACGGCUAACAUUGCCGCCUCUCAUACUAGAUCGCGGCAGCUCGGGGUUCGAUUCCCCGUACCCGAA
rnacentral:tRNA from 1 species